rnacentral:rRNA from 1 species
CAUUACUGAGUGAGGGCCCCUCGGGGUCCAACCUCCCACCCGUGUUUAACGAACCUUGUUGCUUCGGCGGGCCCGCCUCACGGCCGCCGGGGGGCAUCCGCCCCCGGGCCCGCGCCCGCCGAAGCCACCUGUGAACGCUGUCUGAAGUAUGCAGUCUGAGACAAUUAUUAAAUUAAUUAAAACUUUCAACAACGGAUCUCUUGGUUCCGGCAUCGAUGAAGAACGCAGCGAAAUGCGAUAACUAAUGUGAAUUGCAGAAUUCAGUGAAUCAUCGAGUCUUUGAACGCACAUUGCGCCCUCUGGUAUUCCGGAGGGCAUGCCUGUCCGAGCGUCAUUGCUGCCCUCCAGCCCGGCUGGUGUGUUGGGCCCCGCCCCCCUUCCCGGGGGGGCGGGCCCGAAAGGCAGCGGCGGCACCGCGUCCGGUCCUCGAGCGUAUGGGGCUUUGUCACCCGCUCUUGUAGGCCCGGCCGGCGUCAGCCGACCCCCUCAAUCUAUUUUUUCAGGUUGACCUCGGAUCAGGUAGGGAUACCCGCUGAACUUAAGCAUAUCAAUAAGCGGAGGAAAAGAAACCAACCGGGAUUGCCCUAGUAACGGCGAGUGAAGCGGCAAGAGCUCAAAUUUGAAAGCUGGCCCCCUCGGGGUCCGCAUUGUAAUUUGCAGAGGAUGCUUCGGGAGCGGUCCCCAUCUAAGUGCCCUGGAACGGGCCGUCAUAGAGGGUGAGAAUCCCGUAUGGGAUGGGGUGCCCGC